rnacentral:rRNA from 1 species
GACGAACGCUGGCGGCGUGCUUAACACAUGCAAGUCGAACGGAAAGGCCCUGCUUUUGUGCGGCGCUCGAGUGGCGAGCGGGUGAGUAACACGUGCGUAACCUGCCCUUGACUUUGGGGUAACUAAAGGAAACUGGGGCUAAUAUCGGAUAUGAGCUCCUGCUGCAUGGUGGGGGUUGGCAAGUUGCGGCGGUUGGGGAUGGACUCGCGGCUUAUCUGCUUGUUGGUGGGGUAGUGGCUUACAACGGCUUUGACGGGUAGCCGGCCUGGGAGGGUGACCGGCCACAUUGGGCCUGAGAGAGGGCCCAGAGUGGAACGUGAGGCAGUAGUGGGGAACAUGGCACAGUGGGCGGAAGCCUGAUGCAGCAACGUCGCGUGCGUAAUGACGGCCUUCGGGGUGUAAACCGCUUUCGCCUGUGACGAAGCGUGAGUGACGGUAAUGGGUAAAGAAGCACCGGCUAACUACGUG